AACCCCGUGGUGUAAUGGUAACACAACGGUUUUUGGUACCGUUAUUCAAGGUUCGAGUCCUUGCGGGGUUGCCA
rnacentral:tRNA from 1 species